AGUAAUACAUCGGAACGUGUCCCGUAGUGGGGAUAGCCCGGCGAAAGCCGGAUUAAUACCGCAUAUGCUCUACGGAGGAAAGUGGGGGACUCGCAAGGGCCUCACGUUAUGGGAGCGGCCGAUGUCCGAUUAGCUUGUUGGCGGGGUAAUGGCCCACCAAGGCGACGAUCGGUAGCUGGUCUGAGAGGAUGAUCAGCCACACUGGGACUGAGACACGGCCCAG
rnacentral:rRNA from 1 species